rnacentral:tRNA from 1 species
GCAUUGGUGGUUCAGUGGUAGAAUUCUAGCUUGCCAUGUUGGAGGCCUGGGUUCGAUUCCCGCCAAUGCA